CAGCAGCCACGGUAAUACGAAGGGGGCUAGCGUUGUUCGGAUUUACUGGGCGUAAAGCGCACGUAGGCGGAUCGUUAAGUCGGGGGUGAAAUCCUGGAGCUCAACACCAGAACUGCCUUCGAUACUGGCGAUCUUGAGUCCGGAAGAGGUGAGUGGAACUCCUAGUGUAGAGGUGGAAUUCGUAGAUAUUAGGAAGAACACCAGUGGCGAAGGCGGCUCACUGGUCCGGUACUGACGCUGAGGUGCGAAAGCGUGGGGAGCAAACAGGAUUAGAUACCCCCGUAGUCCCUGUCUCUUAUAC
rnacentral:rRNA from 1 species